AACAUACCAAUCUGUGUGCCUCCCUGCAACAAAUUGACAAAUAAAGACUGAGAUCAAGAUGGACAUUAUAAGUAUAUUUUCAAAGCCAUUACAAAGUAUUAGAAUUUAGGAGAACACUUCAUACAAUAUUUACAAAGUCAAAAGAAUCAAUAAUUUUCAAUGAAUCACAUGGAAAAUAUUCUAAAAAAUUUUUUGCCAUUUUUUUGCUGCAAAGCAAUAAUAGUUUGUUGACGCUAAGUUUCUGACAAGAAUAUAAAAAUCACUGAAAAAAUUGCAAUGAAAAAUAACCAGCUUGAACAACACCAAGAAGCACAAGCCACAACAGUUGAUACGAAUAGUAUAGGUUAGUCCCACGCCAGUAAAAAUACUAACGAAGUGAAACCCUAUCACUAAUUCAGUACAAACUCAAUUUGCCUUCAAACCUCCAUCCUAGACCAAAUAAAGGUGAGUAACAGCAAAUUGUCAGAUUUUAAAUAUUGAGCUUACAUAUUUCUGUUCACGCAAAUGCAAAUCACACCUUGUGCCUGUUAAGCCACAGGGGACCAUUCCAAUUUCCACCCAUUUGCCGCAACAUUUUACAUUUGUGAGGUUUACAUAGAUCACAAAUCUUACUUUAAGCGUGACAGGAACAACAAAUCUUUAAGUACGUAGAAUCUGACCCAAUUAGAAAUUUAACUAAUAUCACUAAUCAAGUUACUCAGAUAACCAAACAGACUCCAAUUACCCUAUAAGGAGUUUGAAUUGGAGGUUCCAUAGCUUGGUGCAAUGCUUAACAGUCUUAACCAUUCUUGGCAUGAGCACCGUCAUUCCAAAUCAACAGAAACUUGCUUUAAUAAAUGAUUCCAACCCACAAAAUAAAAAUAAUUACGUAAUGAAAACCGUAAGAAAUCGACAAUUAACAAGCUAAAAUUAUAGAGUUCUCUUUAAUUUAAGGAAAAAGGUUCUAGAUCAGCCAAUAAAAUCAACAAAAACAGCGAAAUCUAAGGCAGCAGGCAGCCACAUUUCGAAGUAAGAGCAUAAG
rnacentral:misc_RNA from 1 species